GAUGAACGCUAGCUACAGGCUUAACACAUGCAAGUCGAGGGGUAACAAGAGAAAAGCUUGCUUUUCUUGUUGACGACCGGCGCACGGGUGAGUAACGAGUAUCCAACCUGCCUAUAACUAGGGAAUAACCUUGCGAAAGUAAGACUAAUACCCUAUGAUUUCCUUUGAUGACAUCAGAUUAGGAAUAAAGAUUUAUCGGUUGUGGAUGGGGAUGCGUCUGAUUAGCUUGUUGGCGGGGUAACGGCCCACCAAGGCAACGAUCAGUAGGGGUUCUGAGAGGAAGGUCCCCCACAUUGGAACUGAGACACGGUCCAAACUCCUACGGGAGGCAGCAGUGAGGAAUAUUGGUCAAUGGGCGGAAGCCUGAACCAGCCAAGUAGCGUGCAGGAUGACGGCCCUAUGGGUUGUAAACUGCUUUUAUACAGGAAUAAAGUUAGCCACGUGUGGUUAUUUGUAGGUACUGUAUGAAUAAGGACCGGCUAAUUCCGUGCCAGCCGCCGCGGUAA
rnacentral:rRNA from 1 species